rnacentral:rRNA from 1 species
CCCUUAGAUGUUCUGGGCCGCACGCGUGCUACACUGAACGGUUCAAUGGGUAAGGUAGUGCGAAAGCAUGACCUAAUCUCGAAAUCCGUUCGUGCUGGGGAUAGAAGCUUGCAAUUAUCCUUCUUGAACGAGGAAUACCUUGUAAGCGUGGGUCAUCAUCUCACGCUGAAUACGUCCCUGCCCUUUGUACACACCGCCCGUCGCUCCUACCGAUUGAGUGUUCCGGUGAGGCUUUGGGAGAAUGGCCUCAACAUGAGUUUAUCGUGUUUUGCCGUUUGAACUUAGUCAAACCUUAUCACUUAGAGGAAGGAGAAGUCGUAACA